AGAACUUAAAACUGAAGUUAUCCAAGUAACCUUGGCCCAAUGAUACAAAUAAAAAUAUUAACAAUUUAUAGAUUGGAAAAUAGCCUAAUGCUAAUGAAUAUCAGCGGCACGUGUAGCACUGCAGACUACAAUUAUUACUUUUUGAUGGGACAAGUCAAAUACACCUGCAAAUACCCUCACAAGUUCCAGCUCUGGCACCUUGAUCAAAUCCAUGAAUUACCGCCUAAGCGUUACAGAUCCCAUAGGAAAGAGAGGUGAACCUUUUUAGAGCUCCCUUCGUAUGUUGAUAAGAUAUGGUAUGUCUGGUAAUUAGAAGUGACUGGCAAUAUUGAUAAGAUUACUUGAUAGCGAGGACUAGAUGUACUAUGAAAGAUUUCCAUAGCUUCCAGACGGAGGCGUGGCAGUUCUUAUCAACAAACAUGUUGAGAGUGUCUGGAAUUUAACAACAAGCCCAAU
rnacentral:lncRNA from 1 species